rnacentral:rRNA from 1 species
GGUGGAUGCCUUGGCACUAAGAGCCGAUGAAAGACGUGAUAAGCUGCGAAAAGCUUCGGGGAGGAGCAAAUAUCCUUUGAUCCGGAGAUAUCUGAAUGGGGAAACCCGGCUGAGCAAACCUCAGUCACUGCAUGGUGAAUCCAUAGCCAUGCAGAGGGAACCCGGUGAACUGAAACAUCUAAGUAGCCGGAGGAAGAGAAAGAAACAUCGAUUCCCAAAGUAGCGGCGAGCGAAAUGGGAAGAGCCCAAACCAGCGUGCGUGCAUGCUGGGGUUAUGGACUGCAAACGUGAACCGAUUUGUUAGUGGAACUGUCUGGGAAGUCAGGCCAGAGAGGGUGAAAGCCCCGUACACGAAAACAAUAGGAAGCAGCAGGAUCCAGAGUACCACGAGACACGAGAAACCUUGUGGGAAGUCGGAGGGACCACCCUCCAAGGCUAAAUACUCCUUAGUGACCGAUAGCGCAUAGUACUGUGAAGGAAAGGUGAAAAGGACCCCGGGAGGGGAGUGAAAGAGAACCUGAAACCCUGUGUUUACAAGCUGUGGGAGCACGUUAAGGUGCGACCGCGUACUUUUUGUAGAACGGUCCGGCGAGUUGCCGGUACUGGCAAGGUUAAGAGCUUAAGGCUCGGAGCCGAAGGGAAACCAAGUCUCAAAUGGGCGUCAAGUCAGUACAGGCAGACCCGAAACCGGGUGACCUAUCCAUGUCCAGGUUGAAGCGGAAGUAAAAUUCCGUGGAGGACCGGAUCCACAUCCGUUGAAAAGGGUGGGAAUGAGGUGUGGAUAGGGGAGAAAUUCCAAUCGAACCCGGAGAUAGCUGGUUCUCCUCGAAAUAGCUUUAGGGCUAGCCUCAUAUUAGUUUAGCGGAGGUAGAGCACUGAAUUCCUAAGGGGGCGUCAAAGCUUACCAAGGGAUAUCAAACUCCGAAUGCCGCGUAAAUGAUGUAUGGGAGUCAGACUGCACGAGAUAAGUUGGGUAGUCAAAAGGGAAAGAGCCCAGACCUACAGCUAAGGUCCCAAAGUGUGUGUUAAGUGGAAAAGGAUGUGGGAUUUCAAAGACAACUAGGAUGUUGGCUCAGAAGCAGCCACACAUUCAAAGAGUGCGUAAUAGCUCACUAGUCGAGAGGUCCUGCGCCGAAAAUGUCCGGGGCUGAAACACAACACCGAAGCUUAGGAAUGUACGUAAGUACAUUGGUAGAGGAGCAUUCUUAGUGCGGAGAAGCGGUACCGAUAAGGAGCCGUGGAGCGUUAAGAAGAGAGAAUGCCGGAAUGAGUAGCGAGAUGGAGGUGGGAAUCCUCCAGGCCGAAUAUCCAAGGUUUCCAGAGUAAAGCUGAUCUGCUCUGGGUAAGUCGGGGCCUAAGGCGAGGUCGAAAGACGUAGUCGAUGGAUAACAGGUUGAGAUUCCUGUACUGCUGUAUAACAGAACUGUGGGGACACAGAGGGAGAGCACAUCCCGGGAAUGGAAAUACCGGGGCAAGCGAGGUAGGAGCUGCAAUGGCAAAUCCGUGUAGCAAUCCAAAGGCGUGAUGCAUAACGAAAUUUAGUAGUGAAUUGUGUGAGCCAGCUGUCAAGAAAAGCCGCUAUUGUUUGUACAGUACCCGUACCGUAAACCGACACAGGUGGAUGAGGAGAGAAUCCUAAGGCCGACGGAAGAAGCAUUGUUAAGGAACUCGGCAAAAUGACCCCGUAACUUCGGGAGAAGGGGUGCCACAGAGAUGUGGCCGCAGAGAAUAGGCUCAAGCAACUGUUUAGCAAAAACACAGGUCUAUGCGAAACCGAAAGGUGAGGUAUAUGGGCUGACGCCUGCCCGGUGCUGGAAGGUUAAGAGGAGAGGUUAGCGCAAGCGAAGCUUUGAAUUUAAGCCCCAGUAAACGGCGGCCGUAACUAUAACGGUCCUAAGGUAGCGAAAUUCCUUGUCGGGUAAGUUCCGACCCGCACGAAAGGCGUAAUGAUUUGAGCGCUGUCUCGACAAUGCACCCGGUGAAAUUGAAGUACCAGUGAAGAUGCUGGUUACCUGCGCCAGGACGGAAAGACCCCAUGGAGCUUUACUCCAGCUUGAUACUGGGAUUCGGUAUUGCAUGUACAGGAUAGGUGGGAGACAAGGAAAUGGUGACGCCAGUUGCCAUGGAGUCAAUGUUGGGAUACCACCCUUGCAGUAUUGGAUUUCUAACCAGCGACCAUGAACUGGUCGGGGGACAAUGUCAGGUGGGGAGUUUGACUGGGGCGGUCGCCUCCGAAAGGGUAUCGGAGGCGCUCAAAGGUUCCCUCAGAAUGGUUGGAAACCAUUCGAAGAGUGCAAAGGCAGAAGGGAGCUUGACUGCGACACCGACGGGUGGAGCAGGUACGAAAGUAGGACUUAGUGAUCCGGUGGUAUAAAGUGGGAUUGCCAUCGCUCAACGGAUAAAAGCUACCCUGGGGAUAACAGGCUUAUCACUCCCAAGAGUUCACAUCGACGGAGUGGUUUGGCACCUCGAUGUCGGCUCAUCGCAUCCUGGGGCUGUAGUAGGUCCCAAGGGUUGGGCUGUUCGCCCAUUAAAGCGGUACGCGAGCUGGGUUCAGAACGUCGUGAGACAGUUCGGUCCCUAU